rnacentral:misc_RNA from 1 species
AAGUCGUAACAAGGUUACCUUCUGCAGCUGAGCUUCGGAGACCUUGCAACCCCUACGGGGAGGUAGCACGACAGUAAAUAAAGCUGACCGCUUGCAAGUUGGCCACAUGGCCAGCAACACAAUCGAAUUGACGGGGAACUCCUAAAGCCUACAACACCAACCGUCCGGGGAAACUCGGGUGGGGCCCUCAUGGGAUGGUAACAGUGUGUAGGAUAUAUGGACAAUCCGCAGCGGAGCUCCUAACGGCGAGAGCCCACGGGGAACGUUCACAG